GGAGUUGGCCGAACGAUCGCUGCUGUCGCAAGACAGGGGAGGAAAGUCCGGGCUCCGCAGGGCAGGACACCAGGUAACGCCUGGGAGCCGCGAGGCUACGGAAAGUGCCACAGAGAACGAACCGCCGAUGGCCUGGAUAAAACCAGGAUCAGGUAAGGGUGAAAAGGUGCGGUAAGAGCGCACCGCGUCGCUGGUAACAGGGACGGCACGGAAAACCCCGUCCGGAGCAAGACCAAAUAGGGAAGGACGUGCCGAAAGGCACAACGCGUGGCCCACGCGCCUUCCGGGUAGGUUGCUGGAGCGCCGCGGUGACGCGGCGCCUAGAGGAAUGAUCGUUCUCGACAGAACCCGGCUUACAGGCCGACUCCUUUU
rnacentral:RNase_P_RNA from 1 species